rnacentral:tRNA from 1 species
GCCUAGUUAGCUUGGUUGGUAGCGCGUCUGCCUUGUAAGCUGUAAGCGCUAGGCCGCGGGUUCGAUUCUCGCCCGGGGCG